rnacentral:misc_RNA from 1 species
UUGAAUUUCAAAAUAAAUUUAUAUUUUCAGAAAAAAUGUCGGAAAAGGAGAAAAUGAGUGCCGAGGAAAAACGAGCAGAGCGUAGGAAAAGAGCAAUGUUGGGUCCGCUCCCAGAAACCUUUCUCAGGAUACCAUUGGAUGAGCAGCCAUUGUCUGAAGAGGAGAGAGAUCGGGAAAUGGCCUUAGCUCUUCAGAGACAAUUAAAUUUACAAGAACAGCAGCAGGGACAGGGGCAGAUUAUACAGGCAGCAGGGGGACUGGAUACUAGCCGAGCAACUGGACGUCUUACCAUAACUGUUGUGGAAGCUAAAUUAUCAAAGAACUAUGGUGUGACCAGAAUGGACCCAUAUGCCAGAAUACGUGUAGGACAUCAGAUUUAUGAAACUCCAACCUGUACUAAUGGAGCUAGGGAGCCUAAAUGGAACAAAACUGUGAACUGUAUGACAAUGCCUGGAACUAAAUUCCUUGAUGUCGAGAUUUACGACGAGUGUACUUUCUCCACAGAUACUUUAAUCGCACAUGCCUCGCUACGGAUCCCUGACAGUGUACUGGAGAAGGGAGAGCUGUCUGAUGACUGGUGGCCGUUGAGUGGACAGGAAGGGGAUGGGAAGGAAGGAAUGCUGCAUCUUAUUCUCAGCAUGCAAAAAAUUCAACCGGGUUCAGUAGUUGGUCCUGGGUUCCCUGGUCCCCAAGUUCCUCUGGUUGUACCUAAUGUUAGUGGAGGGAAACCUAUGCAUUACACUCCAACACACUUACCAGUACAACAGCCUGCUCCACCUGUGAUGUCGGAGGAAGAUGUUGAAGAAUUCUCCAGAAUGUUUCCUGGCGUAGAGAAAUCUUUAAUUAAGGAGAUAUACUCAACCAACCUUGGAGACAAAGAAGUUACAGUCAACACAUUGCUAGAACUUGCUCCAUAGAUAUUUGAUCUACUUGAUCUACUUGAUCUACUUCAUCUACUUGGUCUACUUGAUCUACUUGAUCUACUUGAUCUACUUGAUCUACUUGAUCUACUUGAUCUACUUCGUCUACUUCAUCUUCUUGAUCUAUUUGGUCUACUUGAUCCACUUGAUCUACUUUAUGUACUUGAUCUACUUAAUCUACUUUAUCUACAAAUCUACUGAUCUACUUGAUCCACUUGAUCUACUGAUCUACUGAUCUUUUUGAUCCACUUGAUCUACUGAUCUACUUGAUCUACUAAUCUACUGGUCUACUGGAUCUUCUUGAUCUACUGAUCUACUGAUCUAUUGAUCUACUGAUCUACUGAUCUACUUGAUCCACUUGAUCUACUGAUCUACUUGAUCUACUUGAUCUACUGAUUUACUGACCUACUUGAUCUACUUUAUUUACUGAUCUACAGAUCUACGUGAUCUACUUGAGUAACUUGAUCUACUAGAUCUACUUAAUAUCUACUUGAUCUACUGGAUCUACUUAAUCUACUUGAUCUACUGAUAUACUGAUCUACUGAUCUAUUUGAUCUACUUGAUCUUCAUGGUCUACUGUUCAACUGGUCAACAGAUCUACUGGUAUUCUAAUCAACUAAUCUAAUCAAUUGAUCCACUAAUUACCUGAUCUACUGAUUAAUUAAUCGUCAAUCAAACCAGAAGAAAAUGAAAUCCCUAAAAUUAAAGAAAAUGUUUAAAUGUUAAAUCGAUUCACUUUAUGUAUAUGUAUUGCUUUCAUUUAUGUCUUAUCAAAAUAUUUACACAAGAGCCCACAAGUUUAUUAUUUAAUAAAGACUAAAUUUGCACUUCAAACUAAAAAAUGUAAAAUUGUGUUAGGAUUAGUAUUUAAGAAAAAUUUAUUGGGUUAGAAACAAAAAUUUUUCUGACAUCUUAUAUAAAAAAGAGUCCUAACUUGAUCCGAACUACUAAUCCAUUUAGCUGCUUUCAUAAUUCCCUUGCAUAAAAAUAAAUAUGUAUCGACACUUCACCAAUUCAGCUAACACUUCCCAACCAAACACUUGCCUAGUCACUUGCACGUUUAAAUUGAUAUGAUUGUCACCUAUUUAUAUUCUUAAAAGCUCCUUUUAGGACCUGCUGUGCUGUGUAUUAAAUGUUGAUUUAGUUUAAAGUGAUAUUUAUUUUAAAAUUAACUAAUUGAAUAAUGUGAUUUUAAAUGUA